GACGAACGCUGGCGGCGUGCUUAACACAUGCAAGUCGAACGGAAAGGCCCUGCUUUUGUGGGGUGCUCGAUUGGCGAACGGGUGAGUAACACGUGAGUAACCUGCCCUUGACUUUGGGAUAACUUCAGGAAACUGGGGCUAAUACCGGAUAGGAGCUCCUGCUGCAUGGUGGGGGUUGGAAAGUUUCGGCGGUUGGGGAUGGACUCGCGGCUUAUCAGCUUGUUGGUGGGGUAGUGGCUUACCAAGGCUUUGACGGGUAGCCGGCCUGAGAGGGUGACCGGCCACAUUGGGACUGAGAUACGGACCAGACUCCUACGGGAGGCAGCAGUGGGGAAUAUUGCACAAUGGGCGGAAGCCUGAUGCAGCAACGCCGCGUGCGGGAUGACGGCCUUCGGGUUGUAAACAGCUUUCGCCUGUGACGAAGCGUGAGUGACGGUAAUGGGUAAAGAAGCACCGGCUAACUACGUG
rnacentral:rRNA from 1 species